GUGGCUUCUUCUCUCCUUAUAUUUUCCGUUUCCCUGCCGAAAAGUCCAGAAACAAUGGAGAGAGAUAGGGAGCUUCGAUUUCCUCCAGUCCUCUUCCCUUUUUCUGUCGUCCUCCACUGUAUUUUAUCUCUCCCCUCUGGUUUCCGGUGAUCGCGCGGUGAAGUAGAGACUUGGCGUCUCUAUGUGAUACCCAGGUUGUCCGUCGUGCUUCCCUGUCUCUACUUGUUUUCUUUGUUGCUUCUCCAUUCUUGCUGUUCACGUACACGCAGCUGGGGUCCGAGAAUCAGGUCGUCGGAGCUGUUGAGUGCAUCUGGUCCUUUAGCCUGCUUGUGCGUUUCUGAAGAGAGAAAGAGGAGUGGUCUGCCAUUGGUUGAAGCUGGAAAUGGGAGAACUCCUCUCCCUGUUCUGUCGGCUUCUUCUCGUUCUCUCCCUCCUCUGUUACUGUUGGUACUUAAGAUGGUAUAGUUGAACUCGUGACUCGAUAUAUCCAUUGAGGAGUUUUAUUGCUGAAUUGAAGCAGAAGAAUUAUUUUAGUCAAAUCCUAAUUUGAUGAAAAAUUUGAACUUUAUACCUACGUUGGCGUCUGGCCUUAGGUGCUCCACAUAGAUUACUGAAGAACCAGAAGGGAGGAGUUUCGAAGCAGAUCUGGAGAUUUUGUUGGAGAUGAAAGUGUAAAGGAUUGCCCAGUGGAACGGAAACAGUAGAAGCAGCAGUACGUACGUGAAGAAGUUCGUGUGCCUUAGUAUGGUUGAAAAACAGAUAUCUAUCAACUAUUCGGAUGAAGCAUAAUCCACCUGAAGUUAAUUCCAAGAUAGCUGGAACGUUGUGUGCAGUAACUCAAAAUGCUUCAUUUCCCAAGAUCCGUAUUGCAACUCUUUGUGGUCUUUUGUUUUAUUGUUUAAUGUUUAAUAUUUAUAAAUUUACGAU